CGCAGCCGCGGUAAUUCCAGCUCCAAUAGCGUAUAUUAAAGUUGUUGCAGUUAAAAAGCUCGUAGUUGAAUUUCGGGGUUGGUAGAUUGGUCGUGCCUCCGGUAUGUACUGGUCUUACUGAUUCCUCCUUCCUGAUGAACCGUAAUGCCAUUAAUUUGGUGUUGCGGGGAGACUGGACUGUUACUUUGAAAAAAUUGAGUGUUUAAAGCAGGCUAACGCUUGAAUACAUUAGCAUGGAAUAAUGAAAUAGGACGUUCGAUCUUAUUUUGUGGUUUCUAGGAUUGACGUAAUGAUUAAUAGGGAUAGUUGGGGCAUUAGUAUUCAAUUGUCAGAGGUGAAAUUCUUGGAUUUAUUGAAGACUAACUACUGCGAAAGUCAAUUUGCCCAAGGAUGUUUCAUUAAUCAAGAACGAAGUUAGGGAU
rnacentral:rRNA from 1 species